UAACACCCAUCCCGGGAUAUUUAGAGUUUCAAUUUAAUUUUGAGGUUUGGGGUUUAAUUUGUAUUUGUUGGAUUCUAUGAGGGGCCUUGGUGUGAUUUACAUGAAGAAUUGUUAUUGGUUUGGAGUAUAAGUUAAGAGGAGAGGUGACCACAUGAGAUUUCUUCCUAAGUGACUAAAUAGCCAUCAGGAGGAUAUUUCCUCAUUCUCCCCAAUUCUGCCGACAUAGCAAGAGAGAGAGGGGGAGAGAAAGGGAGGAGGAGGUCACGGCUAAGGGGAGGGAGGAAGGAGAGGUCCGUUUUCGACGAUCCAACUCGGUGACAAGUAACGAGCCAGUCUUUUAGGAGGUGCCGAAAUCGUAAGUUUGGCAUACUCCAGUCGAAUGAAAGGUAGCAGGUGGCUUAGAAUGGGUUCACUCUGGUCAACGCUUUGGAGAGUGCUGAGACUAGCGUCGGGUGAUGUCUUUGGUUAGAUUGUUGCGUAGCUGAUUCGUCUAGAAGCUAACCUAAAUGUUAUGUAAUUAAUUGGAGAGAGGGAUAUUUAUUAUAACUUGUGAGUUGAGGUUUUGGCGUUGACUUGGUUGUAUUUUAAGUGAGAAGUCUUCCGCUAAUUUGUAUUC